GCUCGUAGGCGGCCUGUUGCGUCCGCUGUGAAAUCCCGGGGCUUAACCCCGGGCGUGCAGUGGAUACGGGCAGGCUGGAGGCAGGCAGGGGAGAACGGAAUUCCCGGUGUAGCGGUGAAAUGCGCAGAUAUCGGGAGGAACACCGGUGGCGAAGGCGGUUCUCUGGGCCUGUACUGACGCUGAGGAGCGAAAGCGUGGGGAGCGAACAGGAUUAGAUACCCUGGUAGUCCACGCCGUAAACGUUGGGCGCUAGGUGUGGGUCCCUUCCACGGGGUCUGUGCCGCAGCUAACGCAUUAAGCGCCCCGCCUGGGGAGUACGGCCGCAAGGCUAAAACUCAAAGAAAUUGACGGGGGCCCGCACAAGCGGCGGAGCAUGUUGCUUAAUUCGACGCAACGCGAAGAACCUUACCAAGGUUUGACAUGGGCCGAAAACUCGCAGAGAUGCGGGGUCCUUCGGGGCGGUUCACAGGUGGUGCAUGGCUGUCGUCAGCUCGUGUCGUGAGAUGUUGGGUUAAGUCCCGCAACGAGCGCAACCCUCGUCCAAUGUU
rnacentral:rRNA from 1 species